rnacentral:lncRNA from 1 species
GCAAAUGGCCAGGUGCUUCAGCCAAACCCUCUGAGCAAUUCACUGGUCAGGGAGAGAUUGCAGCACUCAGAUCAGAAGUCCUGUUGUAUCUUACAGACUCCUUCCAGCUUUUUCUGAUGUCAAACGAGGUAGAUUUGCUGCAGCUUGAAUCAAAUGGAUUCCAUUUGUCAGUUUUCAGGGUUGAUGCCGUAUCUUGCCUUACAUCUUGAUUGACUUUUCACUCUGUGCUUUUUGCUCUGCAGCUGCUCACAAUUCUUUAGUACACAGAGAAGAGGAAUUAUUUGUGGAAUGCAUCAUCAGCCAAGUCUCAACACACACACUGGAAAGAAUUGGCGCUACAGACCCAUAUUAUCAACUGCAAUGAAACAAUGCUGGAAAGGAAUUGAAUAUUUUGGUGCAGAGUACUUGUAUGAACUUCAAAAUCCUGUGUGUUCCAACUGAAAGAUCAACAUAAUUUUGGUUUUAAAAUGCUGACUCUGCUCUGGACCACUGCUGCUGUUAUGACUUCAUUAGUGUGGCACAGAUCCUUGUCUCUCUCACCCUGGCUUCACUCUGAAGUAGCUCUGUCAGCUCACUGGAGAUGUAUCUGACUUAAUUUGAGAAGAGAAUCAGGCCACAAAUGUCAUCUGCCUAACUCUUUUGGACAGGAAGGAACUUCUGGUUUGGAUCCCUUUGGGUUAAGAGAAAAAAAAAUUAAAAAAAAAAAAAAAGCUUUAAAACCUCAAAACCAAACAUAACCUUUCCUUCCCCUCAGCAGCAGGUUUUGCUUAUAGCGUGAUAGUAUAUGGCUCUCUUUAGUGUGCUGGAGCUGCCCCACAAUGAGAGAGUGCAUUUGCUAUUUUUCCCCCUGGGAAGCAGGCGUCUCCCAGCAGUGACGUGUGGCUGGUUGCUGCUGGAGCAGGAAGCAGUGGGAUUGCAGGGCUGACGCACUUUGGCUGCCUCUGCCACCUUCCAGCCUCUGGUGGCACAGGCCAAGCUCAUGCAGACAGAUG